rnacentral:lncRNA from 1 species
UUGGACAAUCGAUUAUUAAUUGCAUCAGGGAUUGCCUUUAAAAACGCGGGUGGGUGAUUACUCUGACGAUGGAUAUAUUGAAGCGUGUUUCCUGGUUUCAUGUAUGGUUUGAAUGAGGAAGUUCUAAAGUCAAAUGUGACAUCUAGGUAUAGUUGACACAUUUUCUGUUAGCUUUGAUUAUAAUCUUUAGAUUGUGUUCAUUAAAAGUUCUGCAAAUCUGCUUCUUGAUGUUUUGUAUUGCUCUCGGUUGUUUGUCAAACGCUGCAAGGUCAUCAUCUCUGCAGAGACCAACAGGGCCUUUUUUAAGGAUUUUCCCGUGGGGGGCAUUUUUUGAAAAGGGACCUUUCAGUGAGAUAAUAUAUUAAGAGGGGGAUAGCAAUAGCUGAAGGCCACGUGUAUGGCCAAUAUACCACGCAUGAUUGGGGNNNNNNNNNNNNNNNNNNNNGGGGGGGGGGGGGUCUGGGGUGUACUCCCCCCAAAAAUGUUUGAAAUUUGAAUCCCGGAAAUGUCAUUUCCUGCAUUCUGAGCAUCCAAAUUUGCUCCAAAAUUUAUCCUAACUAUACUUGUAUUAUAUACUUGUAUUGUAUAACGCACAAAAAGUUAAAAAAAAAUUAACCAUAAUUUAUCAUUACUUAUUAGAGGAGGAUAGCAAUGGUCACGUGUGUGGGGGUGUACUGCCCAGAAAAUUUUUGAAAUUUGAAGCAUGGAAGUGCCAUUUCCUGCAUUCUGAGCAUCCAAAUUUGCCCUAAAAUUUAUACUACCUAUACUUGUAUUUGAAAUAAAAGAAGGAAAAAAUGCACAAAAAGUAAAAAAGAAUAUUAACCGUAAUUUAUCAUUACUUAUUGGAGGGAUAAUCCCCAGAAAAUUUUUGAAAUUUGAAACCAGGAAGUGCCAUUUCCUGCAUUCUGAGCAUCCAAAAAAUAAAAAUAUUAUUAACAAUAAUUUAUCAUUA